UUGAACGCUGGCGGCAUGCUUUACACAUGCAAGUUGAACGGCAGCGCGGGCUUCGGCCUGGCGGCGAGUGGCGAACGGGUGAGUAAUACAUCGGAACGUGCCCAGUAGUGGGGGAUAGCUCGGCGAAAGCCGGAUUAAUACCGCAUACGACCUGAGGGUGAAAGCGGGGGAUCUUCGGACCUCGCGCUAUUGGAGCGGCCGAUGGCAGAUUAGCUAGUUGGUGGGGUAAAGGCCUACCAAGGCGACGAUCUGUAGCUGGUCUGAGAGGACGACCAGCCACACUGGGACUGAGACACGGCCCAGACUCCUACGGGAGGCAGCAGUGGGGAAUUUUGGACAAUGGGCGAAAGCCUGAUCCAGCAAUGCCGCGUGUGUGAUGAAGGCCUUCGGGUUGUAAAGCACUUUUGGCGGGAACGAAAAGGACUGUGCCAAUACCACGGUUCGAUGACGGUACCCGCAGAAUAAGCACCGGCUAACUACGUG
rnacentral:rRNA from 1 species